AACGAACGCUGGCGGCAUGCCUAACACAUGCAAGUCGAACGGGAUCCUGACUUCGGUUGGGUGAGAGUGGCGGACGGGUGAGUAACGCGUGGGAGCCUGCCCAGUGGUGGGGGAUAACUGCGGGAAACUGCAGCUAAUACCGCAUGAGCCCGAGAGGGGAAAGAUUUAUCGCCAUUGGAGGGGCCCGCGUUCGAUUUAGGUAGUUGGUGAGGUAACGGCUCACCAAGCCUUCGAUCGAUAGCUGGUCUGAGAGGAUGAUCAGCCACACUGGGACUGAGAUACGGCCCAGACUCCUACGGGAGGCAGCAGUGGGGAAUAUUGGACAAUGGGGGGCAACCUGAUCCAGCAAUGCCG
rnacentral:rRNA from 1 species